rnacentral:rRNA from 1 species
GACGAACGCUGGCGGCGUGCUUAACACAUGCAAGUCGAACGGUAAGGCCCUUCGGGGUACACGUGCGGCGAACGGGUGCGUAACACGAGCGCGAUCUGACCUGCACUUCGGGAUAAGCCUGGGUACCUGGGUCUAAUACCAGUUCUGACUUCCUAUCCCUUCGUCGGUGGUGGAAAGAUUCAUCGGUGCAGGAUGGGCCCGCGGCCUAUCAGCUUGUUGGUGGGGUAGUGGCCUACCAAGGCGAUGACGGGUAGCCGGCCUGAGAGGGUGACCGGCCACAUUGGGACUGAGACACGGCCCAGACUCCUACGGGAGGCAGCAGUGGGGAAUAUUGCACAAUGGGCGGAAGCCUGAUGCAGCGACGCCGCGUGAGGGAUGACGGCCUUCGGGUUGUAAACCGCUUUCGGCAGGGACGAAGCGUGAGUGACGGUACCGGCAGAAGAAGCACCGGCUAACUACGUG